GAACGCUGGCGGCAGGCUUAACACAUGCAAGUCGAGCGGAUGAAAGUAGCUUGCUACCGGAUUCAGCGGCGGACGGGUGAGUAAUGCUCAGGAAUCUGCCUAUUAGUGGGGGACAACGUUCCGAAAGGAGCGCUAAUACCGCAUACGUCCUACGGGAGAAAGCAGGGGACCUUCGGGCCUUGCGCUAAUAGAUGAGCCUAAGUCGGAUUAGCUAGUUGGUAGGGUAAAGGCCUACCAAGGCGACGAUCUGUAGCGGGUCUGAGAGGAUGAUCCGCCACACUGGGACUGAGACACGGCCCAGACUCCUACGGGAGGCAGCAGUGGGGAAUAUUGGACAAUGGGGGGAACCCUGAUCCAGCCAUGCCGCGUGUGUGAAGAAGGCCUUUUGGUUGUAAAGCACUUUAAGCGAGGAGGAGGCUACCUAGAUUAAUACUUUAGGAUAGUGGACGUUACUCGCAGAAUAAGCACCGGCUAACUCUGUGCCAGCAGCCGCGGUAAUACAGAGGGUGCGAGCGUUAAUCGGAUUUACUGGGCGUAAAGCGUGCGUAGGCGGCCAAUUAAGUCAAAUGUGAAAUCCCCGAGCUUAACUUGGGAAUUGCAUUCGAUACUGGUUGGCUAGAGUAUGGGAGAGGAUGGUAGAAUUCCAGGUGUAGCGGUGAAAUGCGUAGAGAUCUGGAGGAAUACCGAUGGCGAAAGCAGCCAUCUGGCCUAAUACUGACGCUGAGUACGAAAGCAUGGGGAGCAA
rnacentral:rRNA from 1 species